rnacentral:lncRNA from 10 species
AGAAACACUCUGCUACAGAACAAGUGUCUUGGUUCACAGCAAAGAGGACAAAGAAAACAGCAAGUUUUAGGGGGUUGAAUCCUGGAUUCCCCUGGCAAACACCAUUCUACUUUCCGUCUCUAUGAAUUUGACUACUCGAAGUACCUCAUGUGAAAUGUUGGUGCCAAAUGAACUUUUCUGGUUCUUCUGAAUAUGCCACUGUUGCUGGAGAAAUGUCACUGCUAGAGAACAGAAGACUAUUAUUCCAAAGGGUAUUUGAGACUGACUGAAUCAGGUCUGGAACAUUAUUGAAAUGGUGGUGACCAGAUGGAUAUAAACGGGCUGUGGAAAAAGAGAAUGCAUGGCCAAAAAUGGUGGUGCUCUCUGUCCAAAAACUGAGGCC